rnacentral:rRNA from 1 species
AUUGAACGCUGGCGGCAGGCCUAACACAUGCAAGUCGAACGGUAGCACAGAGAGCUUGCUCUCGGGUGACGAGUGGCGGACGGGUGAGUAAUGUCUGGGGAUCUGCCCGAUAGAGGGGGAUAACCACUGGAAACGGUGGCUAAUACCGCAUAACGUCGCAAGACCAAAGAGGGGGACCUUCGGGCCUCUCACUAUCGGAUGAACCCAGAUGGGAUUAGCUAGUAGGCGGGGUAAUGGCCCACCUAGGCGACGAUCCCUAGCUGGUCUGAGAGGAUGACCAGCCACACUGGAACUGAGACACGGUCCAGACUCCUACGGGAGGCAGCAGUGGGGAAUACUGCACAAUGGGCGCAAGCCUGAUGCAGCCAUGCCGCGUGUAUGAAGAAGGCCUUCGGGUUGUAAAGUACUUUCAGCGGGGAGGAAGGCGGUGAGGUUAAUAACCUUGCCGAUUGACGUUACCCGCAGAAGAAGCACCGGCUAACUCCGUGCCAGCCGCCGCCGUAA